AACGUAGGAGACAAACGUUAUCCGGAGUUACUGGGCGUAAAGGGCGUGUAGGCGGCAAUGCAAGUCGGGCGUGAAAUCCCACGGCUCAACCGUGGAAGUGCACUCGAAACUGCAUAGCUAGAGUCCUGGAGAGGAAGGUGGAAUGCUUGGUGUAGAGGUGAAAUUCGUAGAUAUCAAGCGGAACACCGGUGGCGAAGGCGGCCUUCUGGACAGUGACUGACGCUGAGACGCGAAAGCGUGGGGAGCAAACAGG
rnacentral:rRNA from 1 species